UGGGUGAAGCUUUUGAAUUAA
rnacentral:piRNA from 1 species